rnacentral:rRNA from 1 species
GACAGAGGUGGCAAGCGUUGUUCGGAUUUAUUGGGUGUAAAGGGUAGGUAGGCGGUCGGGUAAGUCCGGCGUGAAAUCCCAUGGCUCAACCGUGGAACUGCGUUGGAAACUGCCUGACUUGAGUACCGGAGAGGUGAAGGGAAUUCUCGGUGUAAGGGUGAAAUCUGUAGAUAUCGAGAGGAACACCAGUGGCGAAGGCGCUUCACUGGCCGGUAACUGACGCUGAACUACGAAAGCAAGGGGAGCAAACAGG